UACGGAGGGUGCAAGCGUUAUCCGGAUUCACUGGGUUUAAAGGGUGCGUAGGUGGAUCUAUAAGUCAGUGGUGAAAGCCCCGAGCUCAACUUGGGAAUUGCCAUUGAUACUGUAGAUCUUGAGUGCGGUUGAGGUAGGCGGAAUGUUGCAUGUAGCGGUGAAAUGCUUAGAUAUGCAACAGAACACCGUUUGCGAAGGCAGCUUACCAAGCCGAUACUGACACUGAUGCACGAAAGCGUGGGGAUCAAACAGG
rnacentral:rRNA from 1 species